ACGACGGAUACGGGUUGUGAGAGCAAUAACCCGGAGAUGAUAUCUGAGACACGAUAUCAGGCCCUACGGGGCGCAGCAGGCGCGAAAACUUCGCAAUGUGCGAAAGCACGACGAGGGAAUCCCAAGUGCUGGCUCGUUAGAGUCAGCUGUUUUUAUGUCUAAAAAGCAUAGAGAGUAAGGGCUGGGUAAGACGGGUGCCAGCCGCCGCGGUAAUACCUGCAGCUCUAGUGGUGGCCGCUA
rnacentral:rRNA from 1 species